GUGAGUAGCGAAAGACGGGUGAGAAUCCCGUCCACCGAUUGACUAAGGUUUCCAGAGGAAGGCUCGUCCGCUCUGGGUUAGUCGGGUCCUAAGCUGAGGCCGACAGGCGUAGGCGAUGGAUAACAGGUUGAUAUUCCUGUACCACCUAUAAUCGUUUUAAUCGAUGGGGGGACGCAGUAGGAUAGGCGAAGCGUGCGAUUGGAUUGCACGUCUAAGCAGUAAGGCUGAGUAUUAGGCAAAUCCGGUACUCGUUAAGGCUGAGCUGUGAUGGGGAGAAGACAUUGUGUCUUCGAGUCGUUGAUUUCACACUGCCGAGAAAAGCCUCUAGAUAGAAAAUAGGUGCCCGUACCGCAAACCGACACAGGUAGUCAAGAUGAGAAUUCUAAGGUGAGCGAGCGAACUCUCGUUAAGGAACUCGGCAAAAUGACCCCGUAACUUCGGGAGAAGGGGUGCUCUUUAGGGUUAACGCCCAGAAGAGCCGCAGUGAAUAGGCCCAAGCGACUGUUUAUCAAAAACACAGGUCUCUGCUAAACCGUAAGGUGAUGUAUAGGGGCUGACGCCUGCCCGGUGCUGGAAGGUUAAGAGGAGUGGUUAGCUUCUGCGAAGCUACGAAUCGAAGCCCCAGUAAACGGCGGCCGUAACUAUAACGGUCCUAAGGUAGCGAAAUUCCUUGUCGGGUAAGUUCCGACCCGCACGAAAGGCGUAACGAUUUGGGCACUGUCUCAACGAGAGACUCGGUGAAAUCAUAGUACCUGUGAAGAUGCAGGUUACCCGCGACAGGACGGAAAGACCCCGUGGAGCUUUACUGUAGCCUGAUAUUGAAAUUCGGCACAGCUUGUACAGGAUAGGUAGGAGCCUUUGAAACGUGAGCGCUAGCUUACGUGG
rnacentral:rRNA from 1 species